UAGCGAAAGUCGAAAACUUUGAAGAAUAAUAUGCAAAUUACAAUUGAAAUCAAUAAUGGGUCAGAUUCAUUGCCAUUUAUCAGUCUAACAGAAGAGUCCCGUUAACUCGGUUUUGAAAGUUAUAUGAACAAAAGGCGGUUUAAGAUUAAAGAUAACUAUGUAACUCAUUUGGUUUCCAACGGCAAGGUUGUAGAACUUGCUAAUCUGUACUAGACCGGCCUUAAUAUCAGAUUGUUACAGCUGUGUUCUACCGGAACCAUGCCAAAUGAUGAAAAAAGCUUAUAACUUUAACGUGUCGACGCUUCAUUAAAGAUAAUUCUCUGCUGAAGAUGGGUACUGAUGGAAGCAAGCACCUCAAGGACCCUGUGAUACCUCCAAGCAAGCUGGCUGUGCAUAAAUUUACAGAAUCUCGAGCUCCUGAACUCGAGUCUCACUACUCAGCUAUCGCCAGACGGUUGAACAACGAUUUUAAGUCUCAGAGAUCUAAGAGGAGAAGAACUACUAGUUUUGAUAAUCGAACUUCCAGGAGUAGGUUUAGAAAGAAGCGAUAAGUGGGGGUUUCUAGCCAGAGUAGUGAUGGAAACACGAUGAAAAAUGUAAAAAAGCCUCCUCGUCACAUUCGUUGUAGGAAGGAGUUAACCAAGAAUCCUGAAAGUGGGUUUUGCACUUCAGGCGAUGGGACCAGCCAUGUUUGGCAUGCAAAACGUUUUACAAUGGCAGCGGAAGAGGGUCAAGAGCACUAUUGAAGUGGUUAAAAAGCAGAACCAUUAUUCAUGAUGCAAGCUAUCAUAAUGCUGUUCAGCUCGAACGUUCACAGGAUUCAUUAUUGUUGCUUCUAAGCAAUGUAAUGGCUCCUUUUCCUUCACCAGAGGCUGAAGAUGUACUUUCUGGUUGUACUUAAGCUAGUUCAAUGGUGAGUGGAUAUCUGUAUGAAGAUAUAAAAGAUAUCAACGUUGAGAGUUUGGUAGAUGUGGCAAGAUGGGCAGGUGAAGUCUAGUAUGUGUUAGAUUGAGCUGAAUUGGGUUGGCCUGUAAAGUGUAAACACUUAUUGAUGGACGAAGGCGUUCCCUUACUUAAAAGUACUUUACCCGAGGGACAAUUUGGGACAUUGGAAGUGAUGGGUUCAAAAGCAUUUCAGCUUCUUCAAAAGAUACUAAACUUAGCAGUAUGUCUGAGAAAGCGCAGGGUUUGGUAAAAAGUUCAUUAAUGGAAGCCGAUGGUAUUACUUCAUCAAAAAAUACAGCCAUCUUAGAGAAUGAAGAGCAUAUACCUUUGUUUUGGAAUAAUUCCACUUGUAGUUAGUGAUCCUCGUGCUUUGACCAAGAAAAGCACCGAGUUUGACUUGAGUUAUACUGAUUUGUGGGAUGUUGGAAAAGGGUUGUGCUGUCCAGUUGAAGAAAGUGUUCUUUGUAUGGAAAAACAUUAUCAGCGCCUCUCGUCAUUUUGUCUUGCUGAUAAAAGUUCAGAUGGCACUAAUCUUGCAAUCAAAAUGCAUUUUUCCAGAAUUUGCCCGGUUAUUCUUCUAAGAAGGAACAACCUGAAGGCAAUUACAAGGUGGUCUAUUAUACUUCUUUUAAGCUGGAUCAAAGUAUUUUGGGUUCUUCUAGUGUCGAUUAGUGCUCAGGCUAUUGGUUUGAGAGAGAGAUCUUGGGUUGCUUUUGAAAUAGGCUGCGACCCUGAGUUUUCCAUUUGAAUUUCCUGAAUGUAGUUCUUGUUGGGAUAAUCUUGACAUAAGUGGGUCAUUAAGUAUGCUGUUAAGGUUUAAUUAGAAUGUCUUUGUUAUGUUAUUUAGUGUCGUUAGUAUAAGUUCAAUUAUGCACAUGUCAUAUGUGUAUUGCUAAUAUGUUUGGCAGCAAGUUUAAUAGUUUUGAAUGAGUCAUUGGCAUGUAGUGUAGUGCCUUGAUUUCAGGAGUCAAAAAAUGUGGAGAUGCUUAGCCACGAUCUAGUCAGUUAGGAGUUGGUUAAUUUGUUUUCCUAUUUAAGCAUGUAUUCUCCUUUAUGAAGAAAGUAAGUUUUUCAGUAGAAA